UCCUUUCUUUUUUUUUUUUUGGUCACAUGCAGUCCGUUCGCCCAGCUCCACGUACAUUCAAUCCUGCGCGAUCAGCAUGAUAAAUGCAACCUCCUUACCGGAAUAUAAUACUCCAGAGUGGGAGUACUAUUAUGACUACCUGGACCCGGUUUUUGUAGAUGAAACCAAAUUGAAAUUUAACAAGUAUUCCGUCGUCAUAAUAUUCUGGGUUGGCAUGGCUGGAUUUGUGGUUCUCCUCUUCCUUAUUUUAUUGCAUCUGUCUCGUUCUGGGAAUACAAACGUGGGUCACAAUUCUAAGAAAUCGUGUCUGUGUUGAGGAUGUGGAUUCACAGAUUGGCUGAAUAAAUCUUGUCAUCACAUUAAAGUGUGAAUAAUACAGGUAUUCACAGCUGAGAAGAUUACCGCAGUCGGUAGGCCUACUGGUGAAGGCUGCCAUUUAACGCAAAAGGAAAACCAUCACACUGGAAGAUAACUACGUUUUUCAAGUCACAUAGCGGCCAUUUUUUAUUGUUUUUAAGUUAACCUGGCUGUGAAAAUGAAUUCAUAGGCAUGUUACCAUGACAAGUUACUGGACAGAUGAAGGUUGUAGAGUGUCAGAGCUCCUGAAAUGCUAACAAUUAAGUAAUAAACGUGAUUACAAAUAAUUAUUUGUGUAUUGUGAGCCUCCACUGAAGUGUUUCUUGGCAUACUUUAACAUAAUAAAACCAUGAUAUCUUUUGAAUUUGCUGUAAUGUUAGUAAGUUUAUAUCUAAGUUUAAUCUCUGAAUUUGUGUACAGUGUAUAUUUUGGUUAUGGACAAUUCUUACUCUUCCUACAAUUUAAAAAAGUGGAACAGAAAUGAAAUUUUCCGGUCACACUAUUAAAAUUCCUGUCACAUGCA